rnacentral:rRNA from 1 species
UUUGGGCUUGGUAAUUGGAAUGAGGGAGAGUUAAACGGACCAUCGAGUAUCCAUUGGAGGGCAAGUCUGGUGCCAGCAGCUGCGGUAAUACCAGCUCCAAUAGCGUAUAUUAAAGUUGUUGCAGUUAAAAAGCUCGUAGUUGGACUUGUGUGCGCUGUCCGCGGGUGGCCUGCGCCCAAAAGGGCGUUUCGGUUCGGCCCCGGUGGCGCCUUGAAAUCUGCAGCUGGGGGGACGUUGGCCUUAACUGGUCGGCGACCGCACGCCGGCUGCUCGGUUACUGUGAGAAAAUUAGAGUGUUCGAGGCAGGCAUUGGGUGCAAUUGAAUACAUUAGCAUGGAAUAAUAAAAUAUGGCUCCUGCCGUAUUUUGUUGGUUUUGACUGGUGGGAGUAAUGAUUGAUAGGACGGUUGGGGGUGCUAGUAUUGAGCGGCCAGAGGUGAAAUUCAUGGAUUCGCUCAAGACUAACUUAUGCGAAAGCAUUCACCAAGGACGUCCUCUUUAAUCAAGAACGAAAGUUGGGGGAUCGAAGACGAUCAGAUACCGUCGUAGUCUCAACCAUAAACUAUGUCGACUUGGGAUCGGCGGUAGUUUUUUUCAUUAAGACACUGUCGGGACCACGGGAGAAAUCAAAGUGUCUGGACUCUGGGGGAAGUAUGGUCGCAAGGCUGAAACUUGAAGGAAUUGACGGAAGGGCACCACCAGGAGUGGAGCCUGCGGCUUAAUUUGACAACACGGGGAAACUUACCAGGUCCAGAGAUGUAGAGGAUUGACAGAUUGAAGCUCUUUCUUGAUCACUUCGGUGGUGGUGCAUGGCCGUUCUUAGUUGGUGGAGUGAUUUGUCUGGUUAAUUCCGUUAACGAACGAGACCUCAGCCUGCUAGUGUAGUCGGCUGGAUUGCCUUUGGCGAUCCGUGAUUUCGACUUCUUAGAGGGACAAUCGACGCGCAGUCGAUGGAAGUUUGAGGCAAUAACAGGUCUGUGAUGCCCUUAGAUGUUCUGGGCCGCACGCGCGCUACACUGCUGGGCUCAGCGAGUUUUACUUGGCCGAGAGGCCCGGUUAAUCUUGUGAAAUCCCAGCGUUCUUGGGCUCGCCUCCUGCAACUGGAGGCGCCAACGAGGAAUUCCUAGUAGACGCAGGUCAUCAACCUGCAUCGAUUACGUCCCUGCCCUUUGUACACACCGCCCGUCGUUCCAUAAGAGUGAGGCAUCCGGUGAAUUCUCGGGAGAGCCUGGGCGUGGCCAGCAAUGGUCUGCUCGGGUUUGAACUUGCAUAAACUUGGUGCCUAUGAUUAGGGAAAAGUCGUAACAAGGUUUCCGUAGGAACCUGCGGAAG